AUUAUUCAAAAUGGGACUGUCAGCCAUUAACAUUGUUUUGUUAACGCAAAUCACAACAGGGAAGUGGGGGUCAGACCCGGAGGACCAAGCCCACAGUUGAAAACCCCAACAGGAAGUGUUAAACAAAGUGGCGUUAGGAGGCCGUAUUUGACCAUCAGGGAGUGUAAAAGUCAGAACGAGGUUUGAGCCUCGGUUCUUCAAAGUUACUCGUUUAGCAAAAAACACAGCCUCUUCACUGGACCCAGGAGGCCAAUAUCCUGGCUCUUGUGAGGUGAUGAAGGCGCU